rnacentral:rRNA from 1 species
GAUGAACGCUGGCGGCGUGCCUAAUACAUGCAAGUCGAGCGAACAGACGAGGAGCUUGCUCCUCUGACGUUAGCGGCGGACGGGUGAGUAACACGUGGAUAACCUACCUAUAAGACUGGGAUAACUUCGGGAAACCGGAGCUAAUACCGGAUAAUAUAUUGAACCGCAUGGUUCAAUAGUGAAAGACGGUUUUGCUGUCACUUAUAGAUGGAUCCGCGCCGCAUUAGCUAGUUGGUAAGGUAACGGCUUACCAAGGCAACGAUGCGUAGCCGACCUGAGAGGGUGAUCGGCCACACUGGAACUGGGACACGGUCCAGACUCCUACGAGAGGCAGCAGUAGGGAAUCUUCCGCAAUGGGCGAAAGCCUGACGGAGCAACGCCGCGUGAGUGAUGAAGGUCUUCGGAUCGUAAAACUCUGUUAUUAGGGAAGAACAAAUGUGUAAGUAACUAUGCACGUCUUGACGGUACCUAAUCAGAAAGCCACGGCUAACUACGUG